GAUGAACGCUGGCGGCGUGCCUAAUACAUGCAAGUCGAGCGAACAGACGAGGAGCUUGCUCCUCUGACGUUAGCGGCGGACGGGUGAGUAACACGUGGAUAACCUACCUAUAAGACUGGGAUAACUUCGGGAAACCGGAGCUAAUACCGGAUAACAUGUUGAACCGCAUGGUUUAACAGUGAAAGACGGUCUUGCUGUCACUUAUAGAUGGAUCCGCGCCGCAUUAGCUAGUUGGUAAGGUAACGGCUUACCAAGGCAACGAUGCGUAGCCGACCUGAGAGGGUGAUCGGCCACACUGGAACUGAGACACGGUCCAGACUCCUACGGGAGGCAGCAGUAGGGAAUCUUCCGCAAUGGGCGAAAGCCUGACGGAGCAACGCCGCGUGAGUGAAGAGGGUCUUCGGAUCGUAAAACUCUGUUAUUAGGGAAGAACAAAUGUGUAAGUAACUAUGCACGUCUUGACGGUACCUAAUCAGAAAGCUACGGCUAACUACGUG
rnacentral:rRNA from 1 species